rnacentral:antisense_RNA from 1 species
AAAAUAACUAUUAUUAAUAUCAUUAUUAUCUAAUUAGAUUAAUUACUGAUCAAGAAUAUUUUGUCUCAACUAGCCCAGUUCUGACUCUCUGGACCAAUUUCUUGAACAUAUUCUGAGUCUUGAUCUAAAGUAGCAGAAGAUUGAUCAAAGUAUUGAUAAUUUGUCUCAUCCUCCUCCUGAUCACCUGAUCUCCCACCAAUUAAAAACAAAGAACCAGCAAUAAUACAUAACCCAAGAAUACCAACUGGUAAUCCAACAGCAAUGGCAAGUGUAGCGUCUCCAGAAUCUGGAGCAGUUUCUGUACAGCCUUCAGGCUUGCUACAUGAUCUUGUAUCUUUAGAACUCUGACAAGUUGCAUCAAUUACACCUUCAGGGAAAGUAACAACUCUAUCUCUAGUUUGAGUUCCAGAACAAUCACAGCUUGACCAAGCACUCCAUUCAGUAUAUUUACAUCCUGGAGUGCAUGCAACUCCUGAAGUACAUGGCUCCUCUUCUAAUGUUGGAGUAUCCUUGCAUAUUUCUCUCACUUUAUUUUGUUCUUCUGAUGUACCAGGUGGAUUAUAACCAAAAACCCCAAUUUUUGUAAAAUCAAAAUCACGAUACCUUCUUACUACUCCUUGAUCACAUUUUUCACUACAAACUGACCAUUCUGACCAAACUGACAUAACUGCAGUACAUGAUGCAGAGUUAUCGUCACAAUUUGCCAAAUUACACUUCUUUGAUUCUGUUGGUAAUUCUGUACAAUUCUCUCCCUUUACUUCCCUAUUUCUUGUAGUUGUUCCGCAUCCACAAGUUACACUACAAGGUGACCAAGAAGACCAUUCUCCCAAUUCACAUUGAACAUGUGGACAUUCCACAUCUUUAUUACAACUUUCUUUCUCAAUUAAUUCUGGGCAUUUUGAAUCAUCUCCAUUCAAUGGAGGUUUAGUAAUUUCACGUGUUCUAAUUCUAUUACCUUCUCCACAACUUGUUGAACAAUCUGACCAUUCUGACCAACUACCUACUAAACAAGUUUCACAAGUUUCAAUACUUUGUGGGUUUUCUGAACAAAGUUGAAUUUGAGUCUCAUCCCUACAAGGUAUACUUGCCCAAUUCUGAGAUACAGUUUUUACUGUCCUAUUUCUACUCAUUGUUUCAGUAUUACUACAAGGAUCUUUACAUGUUGUCCAAGAUGACCAUUCAUUAUGUAUACAAGUACCAGUAUCACAAUCAGCAUCUCUUGUAUUCUUAUUACCUGAUACCCAUCCUGGUGCUAAAGCUUGACAUCCUGAAGCAAAUCUAUGUGUAUAGCAUGGACGAUAUUCUCUUGAAAAUCCAACAGAAUCUGGCCCUUCUGAUAAAGUUGCAUUAUACGACCAAGCUACACAAAAUGGAUCCUGUUUGCAAGUUGACAUGCAACCCCUCCAAUCUUCUUCAUAACUAACAAAUAAAUUUUUAUUAAAUGGAAACGUUGAUUCAAACUGACAUCCCCAUCCCAAUAUUGAAACCCCAUACUGUGGGCAAUUUUCUGGACAUUUAUUUUCUACUACACAAUUUGAAUACUCUAUCAGAUGUGGACAAUAUUCAUGAUCGUAUCUUGGAAAUGAUAACACGCUUCUUGUUCUUGAUCUCAUCUCACCACAUACCCCUGAGCAUGUAGUCCAACUUGACCAAGUUGAAACAGUACAUGUUGUCGCACACUCUCCGAUCAUAUAUGAUUGCCUAUUUGUUAAAAUCAUUCCAUCUGGAGACUUCAUACAGCCAUUAUCACCACCCUUAAUAUGACAAUCUUUAUUAUUUGAAUUAUAUACAGAUCUUUGGCAAUUACCAAAUACUGUAUAUUUACUCCAAUAGCAUUGAUUUGCACAUUCUUGCCAACUAUUCUUUUUAACCGUAUAUGCUGUAUUCAAACCAAAACAACCAAAUCCUCUUGGGUCUCUAUUAUAGCUUGGACAUAAAUAUCCAUUUAAUCCUGGUACAUUAAAAUCGCCACUACUACUACUACUACUACUACCACUACUACUUCUUCCCUUUACUCUUGAUGUUGAUGCAUGACCACCUACUGAAUAAUGAGUUAAUUUUGAGCAUAUUACAUAUUUCUGAACUAUAUAUAUCUGUAAUAAUAUUAAAUAAAGUAUUAACUUUUUCAUCUCGAAUAUAUACGUUAUUAUAAUCCACCACAAUUCUUCACUUAUUGUAUUUUAUAUAAAUUAAUCUAAA